GGGAAUGUGGCUUAGUGGUAGAGUGCUUGCCUAAAAUGCAUGAAAACCUGGGUUUAAACCCUCAGUACCA
rnacentral:tRNA from 1 species